rnacentral:lncRNA from 1 species
UCAUCGGGGGCUCUUGAUCACGGUUGAAGUUGGUAGCUCCGACACCCGAAGCAGCAGCAGCAGCACCUGAGAGGAGGAAGGACUGAGUGGAGGAUGAGGCAAUUGAGUUGUUGUAGGAUGAAGACAUCUUUCUUCUCAGCUGUUUCUGGAUUUGCUAAAGCUGAUACAAAGAUCCAUAGAGAAAAAUAUAAUUAAAAAGUAAAAAAGAGAGAGAGAAGAUAAGAAAUCAAAAAAAAUAUAUAUGUAUGAUUCAGAAGAAAACGAAAGCAAGGAAUUAGAAGAACAGGAAGAAGCCAUAGAGAUUGACGACAUGGGAAGAAAAGAGAAAAAAAAAAAAAAAAUUCACUAGAAGACAUUUGCGAGAACAAAAACAAAGAGAACAAAUAUAAAUCCAAAGAGUUAGAUAUAAUUUGUAAGUUUUAGAAAGAAGACAUGGUAUAAGUUGUUUUUUUUUAUUGUACACCUUUUUGAGUUUCAGAGAAAGAAACCAAGAAGAAAAAGGUCAAUAUAAAGCUAAAAACUCAGAGACAAGCAAGAAACCAAAGAGAGCAGCUGAUGAUAGAGGAAGAAGAACAAGAAGCCACACUUAAAAAAUUAUAUAUUAUAAAUACACACACACCUCAAAAAGAAAAAACCCUAUCUCUCUCUAUCUCCUCUCUCUCUCUCUCUCUCUCUCUUGCCUUUGCUUUGUUCUUCUCUUUUAAUAAUUGGGGGUUUGAGGCCUUGUGUGAUGUCAAAUAUAUAUAGCUACAGUCCCUAUCUCUUUUUCUCCCAAUAAAGAAAAAAAAAUCUAACUUUUUAAAAAGGUGGUUUUUAUUAACCAAAUCAUGGUGUGUGGUUUAAUGGUUGAAAGAUUUACCUUUGUAUUAUCAGAAAACCAUGCAUUUUUUUUUGUAUCUUUUCACCACAAUUUUAAUCAUUUCUGACAACUUAAAAUAUAUAUAUUUUAAAAAUAAUAUAAGUUUCAGAUAUUAAUUAAUAUUUCUGUUUUAGUCUAAUAUUUUUAUAUUUCAUAUAUAUAUAUAUAUAUAAAAUUAGUAUUAUUAUUUAUGCUUUUUUAAAACCCAACUUGUAAAAUUUUUAAAACAUGAUUGAGUUUUGAAUUAUUAAAAUCAUUUUUGUCUUGAAUUAUGAAAUAGUGUUACAUUUUGAUAAAUAUAUAAUUUUAAAAGUGUGGAAAAGGUUACGGUUUGGGUGGCAUUGUAAAAACGGUGAAAUGUGGGCACAUGCGGGUGUGGUCACACCUCAGAGUCUUUCUCGUGUCUCUCUGAUGGCUUCAUGACAAAACCUCUCUCUCUCUCUCUCUCUCUCUCUCUCUCUCUCUCUCUCUCUCUCUCUCUCUCUCUCUCUCUCUCUCUCUCUCUCUCUCUCUCUCUCUCUCUCUCUCUCUCUCUCUCUCUCUCUCUCUCUCUCUCUCUCUCUCUCUCUAUAUAUAUAUAUAUAUAUAUAUAUAUAUGCAUAUGCGGUCUCAUAUAGAGACGCUCCUAUUAGAAUUUUAGAACCAAAGUUAGAUCCGGACCAAAGUCGGAUGCAGAGGACAACUGUUCUAUCUCUCCUCUCUUUCUCUCUGAAAUUUUCCUAAUGGAACCAAAGUGAGAUAUAGACAGGACAAAUAUGAGCUUAAGCAAAAAAUCUUAACAUAAUAUGACUAUUUAUUUUCUUUAGGACAAUUUUUUAGACUUUUUAAGUUAAUUAAAUAUGAUUUGUUGUUUAGAAACUAUUUUGAUACAAUUAACACAAAUAAAGAAGCCAUCUUUGUGGCAUAACCAGAACUACUAGGUAUAUACGAUUUAUAUUCCGUCUCAUAUAGAGAGAGAUCGAUGUUCCUAUUAUAAUUUUAGAACCAAAUUAGUCAGAUCGAUGUAUGUAGAACUAAUUAAUGAGCUUAAACUGGUACGUAGUCUUAUUUAAGUUCUUAAUUAAGGAAAACUAUUAGUAAAAUUUUAUAGUCAUUAUAUUUGUUUUCUUCUUUGUUAGAGAAAAUGUUGGUUAGAAAAUAUUUAAAUACAGUAAUUAACAAAAAAAAAAAGAAAGCCUCAGAUUAAGAACCUAAUCUGUGGUAAUAACAAAUGGAGUUUAGAUCAACAUUAACAGGAAAUGAAAAAUGAAAAACGACAAGUUCUUAAUCUUGUGUGGACCUUGAGAACUGUUGGAUUGGACCACACUGCGUACAAAUCUUUUAUUUUUAGAGUUUCUAACCACACAGACAGUACGAUGGUUGAGAUAUUUUCAAGAAAUUGUGUGGUAGAUAAACUAUAGGAGUCUGCAUAUAUAACUUGAUCAUUUUCAACAUAAUUCUUAUACAAUUAUUUUAUGCAUGGUCCAAAACAGAUGGGUUAUACUGCAGAUACAAUGUCCUCCAUUAUGACAGACUUGGAUCUUUCUCUCGCACAAGUAAGUCGAUGCGUCACGACAUUUCCUUUUCUAAGAACUUUUUUUUUUUUUUUUUUUUUUUUUUUUUUUUUUUGGACAAUUUCUAAGAACUUUUUAAAAAGAAGAAGAUAAAAAAAAAAACAUUUCGUUCAAUUCUUUACACAAAUGUUUGGUUAAAAUUAUUGUACGACUUCGUAUUGUUUGAGACAGUAAUUUUCACGUUAAAAAAUUAUAACAGUUUUCGCUGUUUGGUUCGCUCUCGACGUUUGGAGGAAUGUUCGGUUCAAUAUUCAGCGCCAAAGCUGCAGCUGCCUUCGGUUAUAAAAUGGUGAAGUAUUCAAUUACUCUCUAUAUUUUUUUCUUUGUCAACUUUAUUAUUCUUUAUAUUAUCCCUAUAUUUAUAAAAUUAAUGGUGAAGUAUUCAUUACUCUCUAUAUUUUUUUUUUGUCAACUUCAUUUUAUUCUUUAUAUUAUCCCUAUAUUUAUAAAAUGGUGAAGUGUUCAUUAUUCUUUAUAUUAUUUUUUUUUGUGUCAACUUCAUUGUUCCUUUUUUCCUACGACCAAUCAACUUCAUUAUUCAUUAUUCAUUAUUCAUUAUUCAUUAUUCUUCGUUUUGGCAUAUGCCUCUAACUAGUAUAUCGUUAAAGUCUUAAACCCUAGCUCACAACUUUUUUUUUUUAUCUCAAUAAUUUUGUUUAGACGUUGUGGCUCGCUGAUUUAUUCUGCAUAGCGGGUUGGCUUGCAAUUGCACUAGCCAAGGUUUCCUCAUAAACCCAUAUCUAAUAUUCUUAAGUACUUAUCUUUUUGCAACUUCAGUUAAUAGAUACAAUUAAACAAAUUCCUACUUUAAAUUUAUUUUUGCACAGGAUAUUAUUUGGCUUGACAUGGGACGGUUUUUGGUGGGGAUUGGAGUUGGUCUCGUUAGCUACGUGGUAAAUAAAUAUAAAAAAUUCCUUAAAAUUCUUUAGUCCCAAACCGUAAAUUCCUAGUAAUUUUUCUUUGAAUCGAAAACUAUGAUAGAUUCCUGUAUAUGUUGCGGAAAUAACACCCAAGCACGUAAGAGGGGCUUUUACAUUUAGCAAUCAGGUGACAUACCAAUUUAUAUAUAGUAAUCAUUUAUGCAUAUAUAAAUUUGACUUAUAAUACUAAAAUCAGUAAAUUCACAGCUGUUGCAAAACUUUGGGAUUGCGAUCGUAUAUUACUUUGGAAAUUUCGUGUCAUGGAGAACUCUAGCCAUGAUCGGUGAUUCAUUCCCAUCAUAUCUACUAUAUAUAAGUUUCAAUUCUCCCAAUUUUUUGGGUAUGUAUAUGUUUUUAUCUAACAAAAAACAAUUUCUAACCAGGCAGUAUUCCAUGUUGGAUACAAGUCAUUGGUUUGUUCUUCACACCUGAGUCUCCCAGAUGGCUGGUUAGUCAUAUUAUAAUUAAAUCAAUAUUACUUAAUUAAGAACAAUAUUUGAACAUGAUUGUUGUCAUUAAUUAAAGAAAUAAUAAUAAUAUAUGAAUACAGGCGAAAAACGGCCGUGAUAAAAAAGUUGAAGAAGUUCUACAAAAGUUAAGAGGACCAAGAUAUGAUAUUGUGCACGAAGCUCGUGAAAUUAAGGUAUUCUCAUAAUUUUGCCAAAAGGAAAGAAGAAGAAAAAAACUAAAAAAGCAUAUAUUAGUAGAUGUUCAACAUUAUUUUAAAUAUUUUUUUUGUAGAUAAUUUUAACCACCAGGGGGAAAAAAACAACAACUAGCUAGUAUCCUAAUUGAGAAAAUUACCUACAAAAGUUUUAAUCUUUCUUUACGAAUUCUCACUGUUAAAUUUGUAGAUAUCAGUUGAAGCCUCGAAACAAAGGUCGAAUAUCAGCAUUAUUAGUCUUUUCAAAAAGAGAUAUGCUCACCAACUCACAGUAAGAUAAACAAUGGUUUUUAACUUUUUAUGAUCCAUUCAUGAUAUAUAAGUAUUACUUAAAACUCUUGAAUAACGAGUUAUAUAUAUAUUUUUAUAAUAUACUGGUGUGUUUAGAUAGGGAUAGGGUUGAUGGUUAUGCAACAGUUAUGUGGAUCGGCGGGAAUAGGUGGUUACGGAACCACUAUAUUAAAUCUUGCCGGUAAAUCACAUUUAUUCCCUCUUUUCAUCAAGGUGUAAUGUAAUUUAGUUAGAAUAUAUAUAUGUACUAGCAUACUAAAAACACUUUUUUUUAUCUUCUAGGAUUUCCUUCUCGGAUUGGGAUGAUGGUGUUGUCUUUUAUCGUCGUACGUAAACAAAAAAAAUUAUUACUAGAUAUGUUUUUCUAUCACAUGAUUAUUGAUCGUAUUCUCACAUCGUAACAAUGCAUGAUAUUAUAUUGUAUUAUCAAUGAUCAUGCAUAGGUACCAAAAUCUUUUAUGGGUCUACUCCUCGUGGAUCGAUGGGGAAGACGUCCACUUCUUAUGGUUAGAAUUUUAUUUCUUCUAGAGACUACCUUUAUUUGCUUUCUCAAUUGACAUUUAGUCGUUAAUUAGUUGGGUACAUAAAAUAAACGGCUAAGCAAAUGCUAUUUUAGAGUGUAGUUAUUGUAACAUAUAAACUAAACAUAUUUCGAACGAAUUUGCAGGCUUCAGCAUUUGGGUUAUGUUUGAGCUGUAUCACAUUAGCAGUAGCGUUUGGAGUUAAAGAUGACCCACAUCUUGGAAAAAUUACUCCAAUUUUCUGUUUCAUUGGAAUACUGGUAUGUUUUCAUUAUUUGAUAUUCAGUUUUUGAAACUGUAUAUCAAACUAGCUAGCUCAUAAAUAUUGAUUUUUACAUAUACUUGUAUUUGGUAAAUUUUAAAAAAUGUGACGACAAGUUAUAACAAUUUUAUAAAUUGAAACAGUCAUUUACGAUGAUGUUUGCAAUUGGGAUGGGAGCGUUGCCGUGGAUUAUCAUGUCUGAGGUACGUACGUAUACACACAUAUGAUCAAACAUAUUCUUAUUUACUCUCUUUUGGAUCAAAUGAUCGUUUUGCUAUAUAUUAUUAAUUAUUUAUGUAUAAAAUAUGUUCUUGGCAGAUAUUUCCAAUGGAUAUAAAGGUAUUAGCAGGGAGUUUAGUGACCAUAACCAACUGGUUCACUGGCUGGAUCGCCAACUAUUGUUUCAAUUUUAUGUUCGUUUGGAGCCCAACCGGUGAGUAGUAACGUUACUAUAUAUAUAUAUCUACACAUAUAAUCUUGUUCGAUUGAUAACUUCAUACAAAUUUAGAUAUCACUGCCUCUCUCAUUCAUUCAAGUCUUUUUGUUUAUAGCUUUUCCAUGCAAGUGCAAGUCUUGAGUUUUUUUUUUCUUGUAUUUGUUAAAACAGAAAAAAAAAUUAAAAAGAAAAAGAAAUGUUAAUCGUGUGGUUUACAAACAAACUAGAGGAUGGCCCGUGAUUUCGCACGGAUGAUUUUUUUUAAACUAAAGAUAUAAUUGGAUUUGUAUUAAUAUUUGGUAUUCAAUAGUAUAGGAUAAACAUAAUAGUCUUGUAUAUUUUAAUUUUAAUUCUAUAGAGUUAAAUCGCGUGUUAAUUUGUAUAUUUUAACUGUAUAGAAAGUAAAUAAUAUAUACAAUAGUAAUUAGGUCUGGUUUUAAUAUAAGUACGUAUAUAUUAUAUUUUCCCUAAAACCGUUAAAUUUAUCAAUCACGGACAUUACCUCAACGGUGUAUAAGAAAAUGCAAUCUUUUAAUAUAAUUUACAAAAAUUGUAUAUCGGUUGAAAGAUAACAUAAGUGAUAUAUAACAAUUUCAUAAAUUUGGAUAAUCUAUUUAUGAAUACCUUAUGAAUAAAAUUUAACUAUUGGCAAAAGUAUAUGAUAAACUAAUCUGCUAAAAUGUUAACAAAAAAGGAAAAUAUGAUAAAUAUUGUAAUUGUAAACAAUUUUAAUAUAAAAUUUAAUCUUUAAUCUACUUGAAAUAAGGUAAAUUAAAUGUUUUAAGUUUAAUAAUGUACGAAAUAUUUGAAUUUAGAAAUAUUAAUGAAAAACAUAAAAAACUGAGAUUUUUCACCUAAACUAUUUCCUUAAUUGAAAAUUUUAAUACCUAUUAAAUCUUUUAGAUAUUCGAAAAUAAGAUUUAAUUCCAAGACCCGAUUAAGAGACCUGUUUUAAGAGAUGACCAGAAUAUCUUUCAAAGUAAUGCUAUUUUAAUAUUUUAAAAUUUAGUUUAAAUUAAUUAAAUGCUUACCAAAAUUAAAUUUAUUAUCAUUUUUAUCUAAAAUCGGUUAGUAAAAGAGGUAAUAUUAGUUGAAAUUUAUUUCCUUCCUUUUUCGUUUCUGAAAAUGAUUUUUUCUUAUAAGUUUUUAAAGAAAAAAUGUUAACAAUCAAAUUUUUUAUUUCAUAAAAUGUAUAUUAUUUUUAUUCAUGGUUAAAAAAUAUAUUAGUUACAUAAGAUCUUUUAAGAUAUCUUGCAUAUAUUAUGUUUCAAAAAAAUAUUUAAGUAUAUAUUUUUCAAAUUUAUUUUCUCUUUUAUAACAAUGAAAAUAAUUUAAGAGUUACAAUAAAACCACUAAAAUAAAUUUGAAUUUAUUUUAAAUUUUAUUCCUUAGUAGCCUUACAUGCACCUUUUGGUUAUAAAUUUCACAUAUAUUAAUUGAAAACUUUAAAUUAUUCAGGAAAUAAUGAAUACUUAUAUAUAUAUAUAUAUUAUAAAACUUUAAAAGAAAAGGAGUGCUAUUUUUUAAUAAUAAGUAAUUAAAUGUUUUCAAAAUUAAAUUGGAUUAAAACCUUUAAUACGAAGUUUGUGAAUAAAAAAAGAUGCACAAAUAUUAAUUUAAUUUCUUUUGUUUACUUUAAAAAAACGUUUUAAAUAUAAAUGAUUUUAGUUAAAUAGUUUAGGAAAUAUUUAAUUCACGUAUAGGAAUAGUAAUGAAGACAUAAUAUAUUGAGAUUCUUCACCUAAUAAAUUUCCUUAGAUAAAAAUUAUAAUAUCUAUAAAAUCUUUUAGAUAUUUGAAAAUUUAGAUUAACGAUCAAGAUUUAAUCUACAAAUAAACGAUUGCGAUAAAAUCUUAAAUGCAUAUAUAUAUAUAUAUAUACCAUGUAAUUUAGAGGAAAAUUUUUUAAAAGGAAUAUUAACCAUUUUAUUUAACUUUUUUUACAUAUAUGAUGAUAAGAAGUAGGACUAAAUAACCUUCGAAUGCAUACCACGUUUUUUGGGUUUAUUGGGGAGGAUGUUGUUGAUCUUCGUAGUUUUCCCAAAGACAUCAAAAUCUCAAGCUACUACAUCAAAAAGUAGAUUACAAUUAGUUGUUUUAAAAAAAUUAAACACAAAAAGUAAAAUAUUAUGAGUAAACAUUGAUUAAAAACGAUAUGAAAGCAUGUGGUGUGAAAAUUUGUAUUAGUUCAUGCUUUGUUUUGUGAGAUAUAUAUUUUGUCUCGCUUUUGAAAUGAAUGUAAACUAAGAAAACAUGGAAUGGUUUAUAUAGGCUGUAAAAAUGGGGUAGUUAAUAUUUUAGAAUAUUUGGUUUGAGAUUUAGUUUUGAAAAGAAAUAACUUUAUUCAAUUUCAAUCACUAAAUUAUCGUGAUUUUAUUGUUAAAUAUUAAAUAUUAUAUCCGAAUAUUCCAUUUUUAGAAGACUUAGAAUAACAAAUCAUGUUUAUAUUUAAUAGGCGAAUUUAAUUACCAUAAAUUAGUAAAUUGUUAUAAAUUAAGAUAUAAUCCGUUGAUUUUGCCUACCAUAAAUUAAUGAUUUUGAUAUAAACGAUUUAGAUUUAAAUGAUUAAGGAAAUAUAUACAUAUUAUGGAUUUUAAAUGAUUAAGGAAAUAUAUAUUCAAAGAAAAUCGAAUAGGAUAAUGNNNNNNNNNNNNNNNNNNNNNNNNNNNNNNNNNNNNNNNNNNNNNNNNNNNNNNNNNNNNNNNNNNNNNNNNNNNNNNNNNNNNNNNNNNNNNNNNNNNNUUAUUUAUAAAAAUCUUACAAAUAAAAAGUUAUAUUAUCAAAUGUAUUUAAAAAAUGUUAAUAUAGAUUGAUUUGGUUGGUCAAGUUAAAAAUUUCGAUCAAGAUCUUUAUAAAAUAUUUGAAAUUAAGAAAAUCUUGUCAAUUAAACUAAAUUUUAGGCAUUGUAUCUUACAAAUAAAGUUAAAUAUCAAACGUAAUAAUUAUCUUUCCUUUAAUAUUGAAAACCAAUUUUUUUUUUUAUCAACUGAAAAAUGAACGAUGGAGAUUAAAUCUCUAAACCCGAUUAACAUAUCCGUUUAGUUAGUUAGAUCCGCGUGUUAACGCAGUUAGAAAUGAUAAUUAUUUCAUUUUGAAACUAUAGUAUAAAUUCAUUGUGUACUUCAGAUUUAAUAGUAUAGAUAAAUGCAGGGACAUUUAUAAUAUCAGCGGCAGUAUGUGGAGCAACAAUUGUAUUCACAUGGUGUUUGGUGCCGGAGACUCGAGGAUUGACAUUAGAAGAAAUCCAACUCUCGUUUGUCAAUUAAUAUAUUAUUCAUUAUUUUUGUUUUGAUUAAUUUUUAACAUUACGUUUCCAUUGUGUAAUUGAAUUCAUAACCAACGUUUACUAUUUCUUAUUUUGUUUGUAACAUAUAUAUAUAUAUAUAUAUAUAUAUAUACAGAUUUGCAUUCAGAUUAUGUUAUGUAUUACUAUAGGACAUAUUUCUAUACUUUUUUCGAUUUUUUCAGUUAUUAAUCAUCUACUUCAUUAUGUAACUAUAAAAAUAUGUUAGUGUGGUAUAUCACAAUAUCAGUAUAUAUGUUACAAGAAAACAAAGAGACCACGUUGUAAAGGAGAGAACCUACAAAACGUUGUCGUUUUCAAACUCGCUCUCCAGAGGUGAUAAGAGUCGAGGGACGUUCGGGUACACUCAACGACGACCUCUCGCUUAACGAGAGAUAUGUCUCUGAAACCUUACUUCUCUCUACGACUACACUCAUCACUGCCUACAAAUUCUAAACUCUCCAACUUCUUCAUCGCUCAGCAACCCUCCGGCGACCGCAAAACUACCCCGGCCGAGGAGUUUUCUUUUCUAGCUGAGAGAUUCAACCGUCGCCUUCUUCUGGGUGUAGGCUCGUCCUCUGUUCUUGCCGUCGGUGCUAAUUUCGGUGGUAUCACUAGCUUUUUACUCGGUUUAUCGCCGGAACUCGGCCGGAAUUUGAAACUCGACGUCGUCUAUCCGAUUGGAGGUUAUAGCAGAUGUGUCGACUCGGUUGAAGGAUUCGGUUAGUAAAGUCAUCCAAUUUUUCCGGUUUAAAUAUAUUAAUAGUUUAUUCGAAGAUGGAUCAAUUUUUUAUUAAUAAAUAAUCACAGAAUUUAUAUAUCCGGCUACGUGGGUUGGAGACCAGACGCUUUUGUAUAGAGCGGCGGAGAAGUCUGAACGUGAGACAUCGCUAGACCUUCCUCCGGCAAGAAUCAGUAGUCGCCGUAAAAACGUUAAUGAGCCGGUUGUUGCUUUUGGACCUCCCGGUUCGACCGGCGAGCUCAACGUCAGUGUUAUCGUCUCCCCUGUCUCACCCACUUUCUCGUAAGUUGAAAAUCACAUAUUUUUGUAGAUCAUGAGUGGACACAUUCUUUGUUCAUAUGGUUUACAAAGAUUUUGCAAAACAAAAAAGAAACUUUGAACUAGCUAUGAUAAAUCUGAUUGAUCAUGAGAAAGAAAUGUUGUACGGCUAGAUAUAUUGGUUUUGUGGUCUAACUAGUUUCAAGAUUGUUUAUUACACUACAUCUAGUAAUGUUUGAACUGAAACAGUCUAUCUAUCUCAGUGUGCAUCCGUCACAUAAGUUGGUAGGACACCCGAUUAGCUAAAGUGUUAAAGACUGUCUUAAAGUUGUGUAGCAAUUGGUUUAUUUGAAGAGGAUCAACGUAAGACAAUAAUUUCCUUAUGAAGUGUUUGUUGUUUAUGAUGUAUGUAUAGGAUCGAAGCAUUUGGAGGGCCAAAAGAAGUAGGAGAAGCAAUAGUAAGAACGGUGACAGGAUCUGGUCAACGAACAGAUUUAAAAGGAACUUUGCUGGAAUCAAAUCUCAGACAAGAUUCAGAGAGAAACUUGAAGUACUAUGAGUUGGAGUUUAAAGUUGAAUCCCCCGUUUUCCGGCGGCAUAAUGUAGCCAUUUGCUGUGCUCACGGUGGCCGGCUUUAUACGCUGAACGCUCAAGCUCCAGAGUCAGCUUGGUCGGAGGUGAGAUCAGAGAUUUACACUACUGCUAAAUCGUUCAACAUCAUUUCUUGACCGUAAAGGAAAUCAAAUUGUAAAAACCAAACCAAAAAUGAAAUAAGACAUUUACAAAGCAUGGCUUAUUUUGUUUCUUCAGUAAUCAGUAAGUAGAAUUCAACCAAAGAGACCACGUUCGAACCAACUAAUGUUUUUGUGGAAGAUUGAGGACACAAUAAGCGAGACUGAGUAACACUAUUUUGAGCAUAAUCAUGUCUUUAUUGAUCGUGCCGCUAUAUAAACACUGCACCUAGCAAUUAUAAAAUUUUGAUUAAUUAAAAAAUAUUAUUUUUUAAAAAUUAAAUAGAAAGUAAUAUAUCAUAAAAUUGCAUCUUUAAACAAACGAAACUAAAAAACGCCCAUCUCUGCUCCUCGGCUUCUCUCAAUCUCCGAUCAAAUCCGCGGUUGAAGUCAGAGAAAGAGACAAAUGGCUAUGGCUAGAGCAACCUCUGGUCCCGCUUACCCGGAGAGGUUCUACGCCGCCGCAUCUUACGUCGGUCUCGACGGAUCUGAUUCGUCGGCGAAAAACGUCAGCUCGAAAUUCUCCAAAGAUACUGCACUACUUUUCUAUGCGCUGUACCAGCAGGUCAGCAACUCCCAUUUCUGAUCUCCCAACCUCAUCCUUCCGGAUUUUGGUUUUCAAUUUCACGAGAUCUGGUGGUUUCAAUGUUCAUUUCUUUGUUUUGUUCAUCGAUUCAUAUUCAAUCUCCUCGAAUUCUUAUCAGAUUUUUGAAAUGACGCACUUUAAUCGUCUUGAUUUAGCUAUAUUUCACGAUCCUGGUCAGGUUUUUUUUGGAUGUUACCAGAGAGAGUACGAGUUAAGAAAAAAGAUCCAUCCAUUGCUGACCGUUUAACUUCUAAGUGAAAUGUUGCCUGAGAUUUGACUUUAAAACGUGAUUUAAGUAGUUCUAUUAAUCAGAUCUCACGUACUCAUUGGUCCUUCAAUCUUAGUUUGUUAGAUCCAUAUUGAUUAUGUAACUUGUUAUGUGAUUCUAAUGUCAAAAAGUUAGCCUUUUCACAUGUGUUUUUGUGUUCUGCAUCCUUUGAUCAUUGGUACUUAGUCAGUAUUAGUAUUGUCGUAGACUAAUUUUUUAUAUACAUGGUGCUGAACUGGUUGUUGCUUUAGAGAGAGAGGGAGAAACUUUCUCUUCUACUUAAUCAUAUGUUGAGUCAACUAAAAUUUCCUCCCUGGGAUUGAUAGGCUUUGUGUUGAUGCUUUCUUGGAUUUAACAUGUAAACAGGCUACUGUCGGGCCAUGCAACACUCCCAAACCUAGUGCAUGGAGACCUGUGGAGCAAAGCAAAUGGCAAAGGUUAGUUUGCUGCUUUCUGCCAAUACUUAUCUAUGAUUAACAUCUAUUCAUUCAUCACUGGCUCUUUUACGUUUCUACGCUUGAGUUUGUGAAUCAUAUUUGUAGGAAGAAGUUUUGUCGUAGAUAUAACUAGGAGAUGCCUUAGAUUUUAUCAAUUACUAGAGUGGAAGAAUUCAGAUGCCUCAUAAGGGGAACCGCAAAUGGGGUUCUACUGUAAGCUGUUAGAGGAAUAUUUGAAAUGCAGGAUUUGUGUUUGCACCCCUAUGGAAAAAACUAAAUUCUUACCUAUGUUUUGGUCUACAUUACCGAGGUUGUAACUGCAUAGGAUGCUUUUUAAGGAAAACAUGCCUUUAACGUUGUCCUAGUAAACUUUGCUGAAAGAAACACAUGCUGCUAUUCUGAAGCAUUUCUAUAUAUACUUUAGUUGGAAGGGGCUAGGAACGAUGCCGUCCAUUGAGGCAAUGCGUCUCUUUGUGAAAAUUCUGGAGGUAACUGACAGAGAGGUCUAAGAUUAUUAUCUUAAACGACUUUACUGGAGCAUAUACUUGAUUUCUUCCCAAUUAUUGUUCAAUUUUUACCAGGAAGAAGAUCCUGGUUGGUAUUCGAGGGCAUCUAAUGAUAUUCCGGACCCUGUCGUAGAUGUCCAAAUUAAUGUAAGUUUUUCUAUCCCAUGGGAUUCAAUGUCUAAACCAUGAGAAAUAUUACACAUAUCUUUUGCUUGGCUGAAGAAAAGUAUUCGAGUCUUUUAGUGCUUCAUUCUCUGUAGCAGACAACGAAAGAUGAGCCUGUUGUUGAGAACGGGAACUCAUUUGAUGAGACGAAGACAAUUUCUACUGAGAAUGGACGUUUGGCUGAAACCCAAGAUAAAGAUGUAGUCUCAGAAGACUCAAAUACUGUUUCUGUAUAUAACCAGUGGACCGCACCCCAAACAUCAGGUCAGAUGCCAAAAGCCCGUUACGAGGUAAUUUAAUUUCUCUCUCUUUUGGAAGAUAAGUAAAACGUCCUAUCAUUCAUGAAUCUUCUGUAUUUUCUAAGUCUUGUUUUAUUACAUUUGUUUCUUUAGCAUGGAGCAGCGGUUAUUAAAGAUAAGAUGUAUGUAUAUGGUGGAAAUCACAAUGGCCGUUACCUCGGUGAUCUUCACGUAAGCAACUUAUAUGAUUCUUAAGCAUAAGCUGAUUGAGAUAUUUUGUUUCAUUUUAACCUAGCUUGGCAAUUUCAGCCCCGUUGACAGUUCCUAAGCGCUUCUUCUGUGAACUGUGUAUAGGUUCUAGAUUUAAAAACCUGGACUUGGUCAAGAGUUGAAACCAAGGUGGCAACUGAAUCACAGGAAACAUCAACUCCAACAUUAUUAGCUCCUUGUGCUGGUCAUUCUUUGGUUAGUUUUUAACUUUUGCAUUUUGUUUUGUUUUCUCUCAUUUGACUUUCUGGCCUAGAUAUUCAAGACAUGGUAACAAAGGAGAGUCUAGCUAUACAUUAUUUUCACUUGUCUCCUUUGCUUGUUUUGUAGGUACCAUGGGACAACAAUCUGCUGUCUAUCGGUGGUCAUACAAAAGAUCCCUCAGAAUCUAUCCAAGGUUAGUAUUAAUAUACCUUUGAAGACGAUUAGUUGCACAUAUCUUAUAGAAGUUUUCUGGACUCAUUAAUUACAUAUCAUUUUUCCGCUGUUUUCUUGUCACAGUGAAGGUCUUUGAUACCCAAACAAGUACAUGGUCAAUUUUGAAGACAUAUGGAAAACCGCCGGUAUUUCUGCUUCUCUCUGUCUCAUUUUUUUUGUCCGUCACCUUUUCAUCGAAAUAUUCCAUUUUAUAAACAAUUUUUAAGUUUUUGGCCGUCAAAAUACAAAAAAAGAAAAAAAAAAGAAAAAAGUUGUUUCUUGUUUUCUUUUCUUACCCUCCCAUAAUAUCUCCAGGGUUAAGUUGCAUCUGAAUCUAGUAUUUCUCCUUCUUGAUUGGAAGGUUAAAUAUGCAGUUUAGUUACUUAGACUGAGACUUCAUUAAUUCUUCCUUUCAGGUUUCACGUGGAGGCCAGUCAGUCACAAUUGUGGGUAAAACUUUGGUGAUAUUUGGUGGGCAAGAUGCAAAGCGUUCACUUCUGAAUGAUUUGCAUAUACUUGACCUAGAGACGAUGACCUGGGAUGAGAUAGAUGCCGUGUAAGAUUUUAUGAUGCUUCUGCACUUUGUUCUCAUUCGAAGAUGUGAAACCCAUUUAAUAUUAGAAAUUUAACCCGAAUACCUUUAUAAAUCCACCAUCUAUCUCCUUUAGUAAUUAAAUAGUCGUUUUUGAAAGAUUAGCAAUUCAGGGUUGAAACUGGUGUCAAAUUGCAGGGGUGUAUCUCCAUCUCCGAGGUCUGAUCAUGCUGCUGCAGUGCAUGCGGAACGUUACCUUCUUAUCUUUGGUGGGGGCUCACAUGCAACCUGUUUUGAUGAUCUGCAUGUCCUUGAUUUGCAGACUGUAAGCUAAGCUAAGAGUCUAUUUUUCAGCUGCUAUCAAACGUUCUUUGUCGUUUGAUAUAACUGUUACAUGCAGAUGGAAUGGUCAAGACCAGCACAACAAGGUGAGGCACCAACUCCAAGAGCUGGACAUGCUGGUGUGACAAUUGGGGAGAACUGGUUUAUUGUUGGUGGUGGUGAUAACAAGAGUGGUAUGUUCAUACACUUUUCCAUGGAAAUUAUCUUCUUUUCCCAACCGUUUCUGUUUAUUCCCCUCUGGAACCUUUCUGGGGAAAAUAGAUAUUUGCUUUGUCUUGCGUGGUAACUGAUUUGUGAUAAAUUACUGCAGGGGCAUCUGAGAGUGUUGUACUAAACAUGUCAACUCUUGCAUGGUCGGUAGUCGCUUCAGUUCAAGGACGUGUACCUCUUGCUAGCGAGGUACUUAAAUGAACGGAGUUUAUCCAUGUUAACCUCCAGAUUACUAUUAGAAAACAGUAUUUUCACCACAUUAUAGUUGCUUUUUAAAGACUUCCAAAAAUAUCAGUUUUGUGUAUUUCAAUUUCAUCUUCCUUUCGUUUUCUACUGACAGGGAUUAAGUUUAGUCGUGAGUUCAUACAAUGGUGAAGAUGUAUUAGUCGCCUUUGGUGGAUACAAUGGGCGUUACAACAACGAGGUAGAGACUGUGAUCUAAACCCAUAAGUACAUGUCUCUUGAUUUUGCAUAUAGUUCUGCUUCUAAUUAUUUCUUGGCGGUAGAUCAAUCUUCUUAAACCAAGCCACAAAUCAACAUUGCAAACAAAGACUCUAGAAGCGCCUUUGCCAGGUAGUCUUUCUGCUGUUAAUAACGCCACAACCAGAGACAUUGAGUCUGAGGUUGAGGUGAGCCAAGAAGGCAGAGUGCGGGAAAUCGUCAUGGACAAUGUUAACCUUGGAUCAAAGGUAUAUUCUUGUCAGAAUUUUCGUCCUUAUAGCAGCACCGUUUGAUUUGGUCGUGAUUUUGACUCACCUAUCUAUUGCGAUAUUAUAUUUAAAAAAAUAUCAGUGUGGCUAUUUUGACUUUUGUGGGAUAAAGAUGCAUAUAUAUUAUAUGGUACUGGUAGUGAUUGUACCAGCACAGGAUAUAGUUCAGUCCGGAUCAUCUCCAUCUCUUUUGCUCUUAUGUUGUUUUUGGUAUGAAUCCCCCAGGUUGAAGGAAACAACGAAAGCAUUAUUACGACUCUUAAAUCCGAAAAAGAAGAACUAGAGGUAUCACUGAACAAGGAGAAGAUGCAGACUCUCCAACUAAGGCAGGAGUUAGGAGAAGCAGAAUCACGAAAUACAGAUUUGUACAAGGUAAUAAGAUUAUCAUCUUCUUGAAACACAAACCUACAUGAAUAAAUUGGUGAACUAAUAGUUCAUUAUGACUGGUUGCAGCAAAUGCUUCCAAUUGCAUUCACAUUUAAUCAUCUGAAUCUAAGAUUUUUUCUCUUACUCUACUUUGUACUGCCAUUUUAUAGGAACUUCAGUCUGUUCGUGGCCAACUUGCUGCCGAACAAUCAAGGUGUUUCAAACUGGAGGUAUAAAACCCGUAGCCACUUCUCUGUUAUACUGUAACCUACAGAAGAUGGAAACUCGUGAAACCUGUGAUUUAUUUAAUCACUACAUAUACUCAACUAGGGGAUGAUUUAGGAAUCUAGAUGGUUAGAACUUAAAUCCAUUCCAAACAGUGGAUCCAUCACUAAUCUCUCUGUCAUCUGUUACAUCAUGGAAAGAAAAAACAAAGCAAAUCUAAUUCGGGUCUGGUUCUUUAAAUCAAUCUGCAGGUUGAUGUUGCAGAGCUAAGGCAAAAGCUUCAAACAUUGGAAACACUACAAAAGGAACUGGAACUCCUUCAGCGUCAAAAGGCAGCAUCUGAACAAGCUGCAAUGAACGCUAAACGACAGAGCUCGGGUGGCGUCUGGGGCUGGCUCGCUGGAAGCCCUCAGGAGAAGGAUGAUUCGCCAUGAGAAUUUUUUUACAGAAUUGAUCAUUUUCUUUUGAGUAAAGAAAUAUAUACAUAUAGAGAGAGAGAGAGAGAUUUUUUUUGUCCGAGUCCCUCACAUGGUUUCUUCUUCUUCCAAAUAAGAUAUUUGAAUACCGUAUUUUUUGAGCUUUGUUCUAUAUUACUCUUAAAUCGUGUUAGUUCUCUGUUAUUUAUACAAGUUAUCACCAGAAUAUUUGUUAACUGUUUUGAAGUAUUUGUCUUGCGAGUGUCAGAGAAAAUUAAUAUUCUGAUGUUUUUCGACUUACGAGUCAGUAUACUGUUGGUCUUUAACAUUAAAUUAAUUCUGUAAGCCAUAAAAUAAAAUAAAUGGUAGGAAGACGAAGACAUCACGUUUUCUUGCGACAAAAAAGAAUACCAAGACGUGGCGACCUGCUAUUGGACGUGAAGGUUCAACCGUUGAGCAUCAGCAUUCAUGACGCUGAAAAGUUACCAAAAUGUCCCUGUCACACAAGUGAAGUGUUCUUUUUUUUUUUGUCAUCUUCUCCAGCUUUCCUCCCAUGGAGUUUUUUUAAAUCGUCUCUUCCAGACAUCUAAAAAAAUAUCAAGAUUUAAACAAAAUUUACACAUCGUCUGGCUUCGAGUUGUUUCUGGGGUUUGAUGUCAUUGUUAUGAAGCUGUUGAACUCAGAGAGGUUCAAGUGCGGUUAGAGAAAUGGACUCUGCUAAGGUGAAGGCUAGGGUUUUUGGCGAUAGUUUUGUUUCUUUUACUGGUAAUGAUGGCUCGAAGAAAUUAGAAGCGAUUGAUCAGGCCAAAGCUUUCCUUAUGGACCUUGAUUCGGUUGCUACAGACAGGGGAAGUGAUAGUUGUGGAUAUUGCGAUUUAGGUUCUCGAGUGUCUGACAGUGAAAGGGAACCUAGUUUAUGUGAGAUGAAAAGAGAGAAUAGAGACUCUGACGCCAAAUUUUAUAAGCUCAGCUUGGGAGCUGAUGAGAAGAACACAGGAACGGCUUCGAAGGAGGAAACGCGAGUUCCGGACUACAAAUCUUUCUUGUCUGAGUUCGAUGAUUAUGUUGCAAGCGAGAAAAUGGGUUCUAAAGUUUCUAGGGCGUUGAGAAAUGGGUUUGAAGUGGGAGAUAUGGUAUGGGGAAAGGUAGAGUCACAUCCUUGGUGGCCAGGUCAAAUAUUCAAUGAAGCUUUUGCGUCUCCCUCUGUUCGUCGUAUGAAGAAGAUGGGUUACGUUCUGGUUGCUUUUUUUGGAGAUAGUAGUUAUGGCUGGUUUGAUCCUUCUGAGCUUAUUCCCUUCGAACCUCAUGUCUCAGAGAAAUCAAAGCAAACGGAUUCGAGUCACUUUGCAAAAGCUAUGGAGGAAGCUAUGGAUGAAGUUGGUCGAAGGUCAGCUCUUGGGUUGACUUGUAAAUGUCGGAAUCCUUCUAACUUUGGGCCUACUAGUUUUAAAGGUUACUUUGCUGUUCAUGUGCCUGAUUACGAAGUCCGAGCUAUUUACUCUUCUAAGCAGAUUCAGAAAGCUAGAGAUAGUUUUUCAUCUGUUCAAACUCUAGCUUUCGUAAAGCGCUGUGCAUUAGCACCUCAAAAGUGUGAUUCAGACAGCAUAAAGUCUUUCCAGAAGAGAGUCGCAGUUUAUGCUUUCCGCAAGGCAGUGUUUGAGGAGUUUGAUGAAACAUAUGAGCAGGCCUUCAGGGCAAGAUCUUCAGUAAAGACAAAUGAACCACUUAAUAGAGCACCCCCUCGAGGUAGCAUCACCUUUCAGCGAUCUUGGCAUUGUUUUGAAUACAUUUGUAAUAUUUCUGCUUCAGUUUUCAGAUUCUAUGAAGUUAUGUUGGACCUUUCUCGUAUGUAUCAUAGAGAUGCAGUACUCUAUAAAUUGGUGAUCUCUUUGGGUUCAGUUUUGCUUGUUUCUCGAGCCAGAUAGGCACAUUCGAGAGUUUUGUGGCUUUGAUAUCCUUGGAAAUCCGAGAAGUUUAGACUUUUUAAGGUUUUCUUGGUAGUAUAUAGCCUUUGAAGUUGUAUUCUUAGAAUGCGUCUAAAAGGCAUGGAAUAUCUUUGAUCUUAAAUUCUGCAUUUUAAAGCAACUUCACAAUGUGGACUGUCAUUUUACCUUUCCUGUUUGCUUUACUUUUAUUGUUUUUGGGUGGUUGGAAAAGAUUUCAUCUUUCCUCAUGCAUUGCUAAUGUUUACAGCCCCAUUGAGUGGCUCACUGGUCCGUGCAGAAACUCUGAACAAGUCGAAGAGCUCAACAAAAGCUAUGAAAGUAAAGGAUUCUACUAAACAAGAAAAAUAUCAUCCUAAAAGAAGAGAGGAAGCUGGUUAUAUGACAGUUCAAUUUGGUCGGGUCCAAACAUCUUUUCAUCUUCAGGGCAUCAACGGAUCUUCAGUCAGGAAUCAUGUACUGCAGAAAAGGACUCAACAUCUCCAAACUCCGAGGAAACAUGAGCAGACCGGGAUUGUCAGCAUGAACUUCACCUCUUCAAGUGGUGAUAUUCCUAGAAAGAAAUCCUCUGUUUCAACGCUCUCGCGUGAUGAUGACAAGGGUUUAGCUCAAGAAUCAGAGGUGAGAAUGGGAGAAGAAACUGCUCUAUGUCCUGACCAUGAGAAAUUUGAAGCAAUGACCAGUCUUAACCAAGUUGAGACUGGCAUGAAUUCGAGAUUCAAGGAAGGCUCUCUCCAGCCCUUUAUUGAGAGAAAAUGUUCUGCAGAAGUUGGGAAUAAGGAAGGCAAUGUCCUGAAACGGUCUUCUGGCGAAAUGAAUUCUGAGAAUGGUCCUCCAGAGCCGAUGAAGAAGAAGAAGAAGAAUUCGAAGAAAGAGUCUGGGUCAGAGCUGAACCAUUAUAGUCCAAAUAAGAGGAAAGCUUUAUCUUCUGGUGAAGCUUGGGCCAAGAAAUCAUCACAACUGAAUUCAGCAAAGAGAAACUCUAAACUUGAUGGUCUACAGCUGUUGAGUUAUUUGCAAGCUCUCUCGCUUGACCCUUCCUUUGGAUCCUCGGAUAGAAGUUCUAUUAGAGCUGUAAGACAGUUCUUUUUGCGUUUCCGAUUGCUUGUUUACCAGAAAAGCUUGGCCGUUUUUUCUCCUUUCACGACACAACCAUCAAAUUGUGCUAAGACUUUGAGCAGAACCAAUGAACCAUUAAAGGCCAGGAAAAAACGCUUGCCUUCUGCCCAUCAACAAGAUGUCCCAACUAAGAAGCUAAAGAAAACCAAUCAGUUCAAAGCUAUGGCUUUUGACAAGAAAUCCAACCAAGAAGCAACGAAGAGACCAAGUCUUGGAUCUUUUAAUAUAGUAAGAGACCGAGUUGGUCCAGCCCCCAUCAGUGCCAAACCGGCUAUAGCUCAACUAGAAAAGAAUAUGGCUCCAUCUGCAAAGGUACUUGAGCCAACAAUGCUGGUCAUGAUGUUUCCUCCUGGUACAUCUCUCCCUUCCACCGCUCUGCUUAAGGCGAGGUUUGGACGCUUUGGACAGUUAGAUCAAUCAGCCAUCAGAGUUUCCUGGAAAUCCUCAAUCUGCCGUGUUGUCUUCCUGUCUAAACUCGAUGCGCAGACUGCUUUAAGAUAUGCAUCAGGAAGCAACUCUAUAUUUGGCAACGUGAAUGUGACGUACUUUCUCCGCGACAUGAAUGCUCUCUCUGCAUCCGGAGAUCAUGAACUGAAGAACGCCAAGAUAGACGAACCAAUCAGUGAACAACCAUUGAACGAGCGGCUAGAGCAAGCACCGCCGGUUAACCAACCAAACAUCCAGCUCAAGUCCUGUUUGAGAAAACCAGGAAAUAAUGUUAAUGGUAAGCACGGUACAGCACGAGUGAAAUUCACGUUGGGUGGGCAAGAAACAGAGACAAAGUUUUUGGUUUCCGGUAGAAACAAUGGAAAUGACACUUCAUCAUCAUCAUCAUCAUCUGUUGCCAUGGGAUAUGUUAGUAAGAACACUCAAAACAUGGUUCCGUCAACAUUGGUUCCAGUACUUCCUCUUUCUCCACAGUUGUCAAAACCGAAGCCUGUUGAUAAUGAAGACCACGUCGAGCCACCCCUAAACCCAUCGCAGCAUACGGUGGACAUCUCCCAGCAGAUGAUAAAGCUGUUAACAAGGUGUAACGAUGUUGUGGCUAACGCCACGGGUUUGUUGGGUUACGUCCCUUAUCAUUCCUUAUGAAAGAUUACGUUAAAAAGUCUGUAGAGAGAGAUGUAGGUGAAGUUUCGUGUGCUUACAAUAUUAGUAGGGCAUGUUUAAUACUAUUUUAUACUAGUAAGUAGUAUGGUUACUUUUGCUGUUGUGCGCUCUCUCUCUUUCUCGCUC